AGAGGACACAGGAGGGGGGAAUGAAGAGAAGCACCACCAGUCCGCCGCCGCGCUCAGACGGACGUUUCCUGGCCGGUAGCGCAUAAGGGUCCCCUUUUAACGAGUCCAGUCCACCCGAGGAGUCUCGGCUCUGAUGUCAUGAUGCGGGAGACUCUUUAGCGGCUCUCGACAGCGAGAGGUGCGAUGUGAAAUGGCCGGCUGGGUUAUCGGCUCCCGAAGCGGUGGGAGCAUGAGAAACUGGGGCGCGGGGAUGCGUGAGAGCUUCUGGGCCUCCGCCAGAGCGGCUCCGACAGCCGUCCGGCUCGACCUUCACGGGGCGGAAGCAUGGCUGCCUUUUAACACACUCAUCCUACUGUGCAACGAGGAGGAGGUAAGCGGGGACAGCUGAGGCCUCGCUUCCAGGAAAACGGGUAUUGGGAACCACAGACUCCCUUUAGGAAAACUGCCGUUAAGAACCAUAAACUCCCUUUAGGAAAACUGCUAUUGGGAACCAUUUAACUCCCUUUAGGAAAACUGCCGUUAAGAAUCAUAAACUCCCUUUAGGAAAACUGCUAUUGGGAACCAUUUAACUCCCUUUAGGAAAACUGUCAUUAGAACCAUAGAGUCCCAUUAGGAAAACUACCACAGGGAACUACAGAGUCCCUUUAGAAAAAUUCCUAUGGGAACCAUUGACUUCCUUACCACAGGUCAGAGAAAAUUAAAUGCUAAAAAAUUUACCUGGAUAUUUUUUUCCCUUGUUGGAAAAAAAGGGGAUGAUUUAUACUUUUUAUAAUUAAAGAUAUUUAUUUAGCUUCA